rnacentral:rRNA from 1 species
CUCACCACGAGAUGAGUCCGCGUCCCAUCAGCUAGUUGGCGGUGUAAUAGACACCAAGGCUUAGACGGGUAGCUGGUCUGAGAGGAUGACCAGCCACACUGGGACUGAGACACGGCCCAGACUCCUACGGGAGGCAGCAGUGGGGGAAUAUUGGACAAUGGGCGAAAGCCUGAUCCAGCCAUGCCGCGUGAGUGAUGAAGGCCUUCGGGUCGUAAAGCUCUGUGGGGAGGGACGAAAAAGCGUGACCUAAUACGUCUCGCCUUGACGGUACCUCCUUAGCAAGCACCGGCUAACUCCGUGCCAGCAGCCGCGGUAAUACGGAGGGUGCAAACGUUGCUCGGAAUUAUUGGGCGUAAAGAGCCCGCAGGCGGCUUGGCAAGUUUCGAGUGAAAUCUCCCGGCUCAACUGGGAGGGGCGCUCGGAAAACUGCCAGGCUUGAGGCAGGGAGAGGGAUGUGGAAUUCCCGGUGUAGUGGUGAAAUGCGUAGAUAUCGGGAGGAACACCAGUGGCGG